AUCUGGAUGGGCAGCAACCGCCCUCGAGUCAGCGCGGACGAGAUGCGGACGGCCAUCGCCGACCACUUCCGCAUUGACCGCAACUGCUUCAAGGUCAAGCCGCACCUGCCGGAAGAUUUCCUCGCCACCUUCGACUUCCCGCAUCACCGUGACCUGGUGGCAGCGCUCCCGGGAAGAUUCGAGCAGGGUGGCCUCGACAUCCAUGUCGCGAAGUGGCGGCUCAACGCCCAUGCGGAGGCCGUCAACGCCUUCCACCAUGUCCACCUCUACAUAGAGAAUGUGGCUCUGAACACGUGGAACGACAAGGUUGCUGAGCAGGUUCUUGGGCCGAAAACCUUGCUGCACUACUUCGACACUUCCACAGUCUCGAGGGAAGAUACUACCUCGCUCAACCUUUGGGCGUGGUUGGCGAAUCCAUCCAGCAUCCCCAAG
rnacentral:rRNA from 1 species